rnacentral:rRNA from 1 species
GAUCAACGCUGGCGGCGUGCCUAAUGCAUGCAAGUCGAACGGCGCUCCUUUGGGGCGCAGUGGCAGACGGGUGCGGAACACGUGGGUAAUCUAGCCGCUUCUGGGGGAUACCUGCCCGAAAGGGUGGUUAAUACCGCAUGAGCUCGCUUCUGGGUCGACGGAAGUGAGGAAAGGCGUAAGCCGGGAGUGGGGGAGCCUGCGGCCGAUUAGCUGGUUGGUGGGGUAAUGGCCUACCAAGGCGACGAUCGGUAGCCGGUCUGAGAGGACGGCCGGCCAC